rnacentral:rRNA from 1 species
UACGGAGGAUGCGAGCGUUAUCCGGAUUUAUUGGGUUUAAAGGGUGCGUAGGCUGGUAAAUAAGUCAGCGGUGAAACUCACAGGCUCAACCUGUGCCGUGCCGUUGAAACUGUCUAUCUAGAAUUCGGAUGCUGUGGGAGGAAUGUGUAGUGUAGCGGUGAAAUGCAUAGAUAUUACACAGAACGCCGAUUGCGAAGGCAUCUCACAAAGCCGUUAUUGACGCUGAGGCACGAAAGUGUGGGGAUCAAACAGG